rnacentral:rRNA from 1 species
UACGAAGGGGGCUAGCGUUGUUCGGAAUCACUGGGCGUAAAGGGCUCGUAGGCGGCCAACUAAGUCAGACGUGAAAUCCCUCGGCUUAACCGGGGAACUGCGUCUGAUACUGGAUGGCUCGAGGUUGGGAGAGGGAUGCGGAAUUCCAGGUGUAGCGGUGAAAUGCGUAGAUAUCUGGAGGAACACCGGUGGCGAAGGCGGCAUCCUGGACCAAUUCUGACGCUGAGUGAGCGAAAGCCAGGGGAGCAAACGGGG